UACGAGUGCUCCAAGCGUUAUCCGGAAUUAUUGGGCGUAAAGGGUGUGUAGGUGGUUAUGUUAGUCUUCUGUUAAAUUCUUCGGCUUAACCGGGGGCAUGCAGAGGAAACGGCAUAACUUGAGGAUGCGAGAGGUGAACGGAACUCAUGGAGUAGGGGUGAAAUCCGUUGAUAUCAUGGGGAACACCAAAUGCGAAGGCAGUUCACUGGCGCAUUCCUGACACUGAGACACGAAAGCGUAGGUAGCGAAUGGG
rnacentral:rRNA from 1 species